UUAUCCUCUUUUUGCUCUCUGUGUUCUUCGUGCAUCAUGUGCUUUGGGCCUCCAAAUUUCUUAUGACGCAUAUUUCUUCUUACACUAGUAAGUAUUUUCUUCUCUUUUCUUCUUUUUGGCUCUCCUUUCACUAUAUUACCAUAUUCUCACCUUGGAUUCCACUAAGACCCUUUCUCAAAAUCCUUCUAUCGAAUUAGUUAGUGAGGACGAACCUACUUCUCAGCAUGAGGAAGUGGAUAGUCCUAAUUACUCCUCAAAGGAAGAUGAAAAUGACCAUCACCUCUAUCCUUCAAAAAUGAACUUAAGUCGCCUAGGGUACAUCUAAAGUGGAUAUAGAAUUCCUAGCAUCUAUACCUUAAAAGAGUGCUUGGCCGACUUUCUGGGUAAUAUUACACCAGAGCCUGGUCAUAUGCUCUAUGACGAUCACCUUAAGGUUGGCCUUCCCUUACCGCUAGAUCUAUUCAUUAAGUUGGUAAUCCAGUUCAUGAAUGUCGUCAUUGCUCAACUGCAUUCUAAUUCUAUCCGUAUACUUGUAGAGUUUAGACAGCUAUAUAAAAAUUAUAAGAUCAUACCUUCCUUAUACUUCUUUUUUUAACUUCUAAGCUCGGACUGGAAAUAAGAUAUUGGACGAGCUUAUGUCUUCUGUACAUAAUUGUCGUGGACCAUUUUUUCUUGGUCGCUCAUUCCACCAAGUUCACUGAUCUCCUAAUGAGAUGACACGUUCCUCCCCUCAGAAAGAUCAAACUUACCUUGAGGGACGACAGAAUGAAUAGAAAGGUUUUAUUGAGUGUUAAGACGAAACUAGUUCCUCUUCCUGUUUCUCUUUUGAUUUCUCAAUUCUUGGACAAGCUAGAUGUUGGCGAGCAAGGGGUUAAGUUAGGUGUCAGCUCUUCAGUAAUUGAUUUGAAGCAGCUGAAGAGAGCCAAAGCUAGCAAAGGCAAAAGAGUCGUUGGCUCAUCCUCUGCUCUUCCUAAUUUAGCUACCAAAGUGCUUCUAGAGAUAAUAUGACUCUACUCGUGAUUUCAGCACCGGGUCUACCACAGGUGCCCGAGCAAAACAUUGCUCUCCAUCUCCCUCAUCCUUUGGGAAGCAUCCUCGUCUGGUUGAAUCAUAAUAUAAAAUGAGUCAAAUCAAUAAGCUAUAAAGAGACAAUCAAGGAAGUCAUCAAGGCUAAGUUGGGUGAUGUCAAUAUAAGCUUCCUUAAUGACCUACACAUUGAGGAGAGCGGGAAUAAAGCUCAUGAGGAAGUAGCUGAAAAUCAAGCUCUCCAAGGAGUUACAGAUGGUGAACAAGUCGAGGUCUCCAGUGGCAAAUUAGCUAGAAGUUUCUAAUGUAAUUCCUCCUUUAGGAGAUGACCUCACUAUAGAGGACGACCUCAAUGAACCUCGGGGUAUUAUUGAAGAUGAGCCUUGAGCUUUUAGGACUUCGUAAUUUUCUCUUUUAUCAAUGAAGUUCUUCUCUUUUUCUCCAUUCUUCUCUACCUAUUUUUAACUAACUGUC